AUGGCUCCCCCUACGUCGUCCUCAUCUCCGAUGCCGGUUAUGGACGCACGGAUGAGGCUGAUAAUCCAGGAAGCAGCACUGAUUAGUGUGAUUCAGGCAUGGGUCAUGUUCAUGCACCAAAGAGCUAUUCGUCGUGCUGGGAGACCUUUGAUUCAUUAUGGUCCAUUGUUUUCCCAGGAACAGGAGAGGAUCCAAAAUCUGAACUACAUCUACAACUGCAAUGACGUUGAGGCUCUAUGGAUGCUUAGAAUGAAAAGAGCACCAUUUGCCAGGCUUGUCGAGACCUUCAUGAGCAUGGGGCUGUUACAAGAUAGCAUCAACACCAGUGUCGAAGAGCAAGUGGCCAUGUUCCUCCAUGUUGUUGGCCAUAACCAGAGGUUCAGGGUCAUUCACAACAUCUUCAGGAGAUCAAUGGAGACCAUCUCUAGAUACUUCAAGCAGGUGCUUUUUGCUAUUGGGGAGCUUAGAGGAGAGAUGAUCAGGAGACCAUCUGGCCAGACUCCACCCAAGAUUCGCGGAAGCCCAAGAUGGUAUCCAUACUUCAAGGAUUGCAUUGGGGCAAUA
rnacentral:rRNA from 1 species